rnacentral:rRNA from 1 species
GGGACACGUGGUAUCCUGUCUGAAUAUGGGGGGACCAUCCUCCAAGGCUAAAUACUCCUGACUGACCGAUAGUGAACCAGUACCGUGAGGGAAAGGCGAAAAGAACCCCGGCGAGGGGAGUGAAAAAGAACCUGAAACCGUGUACGUACAAGCAGUGGGAGCACCUUCGGGUGUGACUGCGUACCUUUUGUAUAAUGGGUCAGCGACUUAUAUUCUGUAGCAAGGUUAACCGUAUAGGGGAGCCGCAGGGAAACCGAGUCUUAACUGGGCGUUAAGUUGCAGGGUAUAGACCCGAAACCCGGUGAUCUAGCCAUGGGCAGGUUGAAGGUUGGGUAACACUAACUGGAGGACCGAACCGACUAAUGUUGAAAAAUUAGCGGAUGACUUGUGGCUGGGGGUGAAAGGCCAAUCAAACCGGGAGAUAGCUGGUUCUCCCCGAAAGCUAUUUAGGUAGCGCCUCGUGAAUUCAUCUUCGGGGGUAGAGCACUGUUUCGGCUAGGG